UACGUAGGGUGCAAGCGUUGCCCGGAUUCAUUGGGCGUAAAGCGCGCGCAGGCGGCCUUCCAAGUCCCGCGUGAAAUCGCCCGGCUCAACCGGGCGGGGUCGCGGGAGACUGGGGGGCUCGAGCGAGGGAGGGGGCAGUGGAAUUCCCGGUGUAGUGGCGGAAUGCGUAGAUAUCGGGAGGAACACCAGUGGCGAAGGCGGCUGCCUGGACCUCUGCUGACGCUGAGGCGCGAAAGCGUGGGGAGCGAUCCGG
rnacentral:rRNA from 1 species